GAAAUAACUAUAAAUUACAAAUUUUACUAUUCUUUCAAACAAUUGAAUAGUAAAAUUUGUAAUUUAUAGUUAUUUCU
rnacentral:tRNA from 1 species